rnacentral:rRNA from 1 species
UACGAAGGGGGCUAGCGUUGCUCGGAAUCACUGGGCGUAAAGGGUGCGUAGGCGGGUCUUUUAAGUCAGGGGUGAAAUCCUGGAGCUCCAACUCCAGAACUGCCUUUGAUACUGAAGAUCUUGAGUUCGGGAGAGGUGAGUGGGAACUGCGAGUGUAGAGGUGAAAUUCGUAGAUAUUCGCAAGAACAUCAGUGGCGAAG